rnacentral:rRNA from 1 species
GACGAACGCUGGCGGCGUGCCUAAUACAUGCAAGUCGAACGCUGAAGGAGGAGCUUGCUUCUCUGUAUGAGUUGCGAACGGGUGAGUAACGCGUAGGUAACCUGCCUGGUAUCGUGGGAUAACUAUUGGAAACGAUAGCUCAUACCCCAUAAUAGUAGAUGUUGCAUGAUAUUUGCUUAAAAGGUGCAAUUGCAUCACUACCAGAUGGACCUGCGUUGUAUUGGUUAGUUGGUGGGGUAACGGCUCUCCAAGGCGUCGAUACAUAGCCGGCCUGCGGGGGUGGACGGCCACACUGGGACUGUGAACCGGCCCAAACUCCCAGGGGGCGGAGGAGUAGGGAAACGUCGGAAAUGGACGGAAGGCUGAACGAGCAAAGCCGCGUGGGUGAAGGAGGUUUUCGGGUCGUAAAGGUAUGUUGUACGGGAAGAAAGAGUGUGGGCGUGGAAAGUUCACACGGUGACGGUAUCUUACAAAAAAGCGACGGCUAACUACGUG